AUUGAACGCUGGCGGCAGGCCUAACACAUGCAAGUCGAACGAGUGGCGGACGGGUGAGUAAUGUCUGGGAAACUGCCUGAUGGAGGGGGAUAACUACUGGAAACGGUAGCUAAUACCGCAUACCAUCAGAUGUGCCCAGAUGGGAUUAGCUAGUUGGUGGGGUAACGGCUCACCUAGGCGACGAUCCCUAGCUGGUCUGAGAGGAUGACCGUCCACACGGGAACUGAGACACGGUCCAGACGCCUACGGAAGGCAGCAGUUGGGAAUAUUGCACAAUGGGCGCAAGCCUGAUGCAGCCAUGCCGCGUGUAUGAAGAAGGUCUUCGGAUUGUAAAGCACUUUAAGUGUGGAGGCGUUACCAGCAGAAUAAGCACCGGCUAACUUCGUGCCAGCCGCCGCGGUAAUAC
rnacentral:rRNA from 1 species